AAGCAGCUCAGCUGUUUUCAGCCAGCCCUGAGGAUGUUGGGUGUGUUUUUGGGAUGCCACAGUGCCCCAGUGGCCUCAUUCCAUUGGGAGGAUGAGGAGGAUAAUUGAUUUAAUAGCCCUGACAGUGGAAUGUUGGAUUGCUGGAGGAAUUUCUGUACUAAACCCUGGCAUGCAGGAAACUCCUGCACCUUUUCCUGCUGUUUCUUGGUGUGUGGCUUUGUGGUGGUUUUAAUGUUGGGGGUGACCUGAAAAGAAGGAAAAUUGUAUAAAUUUCAGUUGUGUGGAAGCAGGGUGCUUGUUCCUAAAUCACUUUUUAGGGGUUUUUCUGCUUUGGGAAAUCGUGGUUGUUGGAACUUGGUUGGGUCUGUGAUUCAGGUUUGGGAUUUGUGCUAAAAUCCCAACGGAAUUGUGUGGAAAUCCUGCCUGAGCUGCUCCUUUAAAACACUUUAAACAAAACCAAGGAGGGGGAAAGCAAAUCUGAUCCCUCUGGAAAUUCUGGCAGGGAGAGAAGGGAACAAAUCCCAUCCUCCAGGGUUUGGGAGGGAUCUUUAAAAGGCACCCUCAGGUCCCCAACUCCGGAAUAUUUCCGUGUAGGAUCGGAAAACAACCCCACUGUGGAGAUAAUUCCGUUUUCCUUGGUGCUUGGGGAGCAGGAAAGAAAAAUCCCCCUGGAUUCUGUUCCUGGCAGGCCAUGGAGAGCUGAUCACCCCCCUGCCAAAGGAGCAGGAUCCCAGCCAGGACCAUAAAUGAGUUUCAAAUGAGCCUUCCCAACUUCAGGAAGAAUUUUGGGUGUAAACCCCUUCCACAGGUUUGACGUUCAUCCCGAUUUUCCAUUGCUUGUGAGCUGCUCUCUGCCUUCUCUGCUGCACUUGAGGUUCACAAGGUUGGCAGAAUUUCACUUGUUCUUGAAGAAAUUGCAUUUUUAGUAGUGUUUUGAAAGGAACAAAAAUCCCCAGGUGCCUCAGGAAUGAUCCACCCUGAAAAAAAAACCCCACCUGGAGCUGGUGGAGCUUCGUGUGCUCCUUCAAAUUGGGUGCUGGGAAAUCUGCACCGAAGCCAAACCAGGAUUUUCCUCUGUGUUAAUUCAGGAAUUGCACUGAUCUCAAGCCUAAUUUCCACAUUCAGUUGGCUUUUAUUUCCUCCACCCAUGCUGGAGAAAUCCCAGAGGGUUUGGAGAUUUAUGUUUUAAAGCUCUUUUCUUUGAGGAUUGGCAGAUAAGAACCAGCAAGGCUCGGAAACUGCUGGAGCUUCUGGCUGAGGUAGCGGAGAAUUCUGGAACAAACAACUGGGGAAUGGCCUAAAAGCAGAGAGGCUCAGGGACAGAUGUGUGGCCACCAGAACGAUUCCAGUUCCAUCCUCAGUGCUCCUGCAUCCAGCUCUGGCUCAGAUCUGCCUCCCUCAGCUGAAACUCAGAGAAUUCUUCUGCUUCCUGAUUAUUUCCAGCUCUCAUGGAAUUCUCCUGGCAAGCUCAGGCAUCAGGAAAAGGGCAGCUCUAUCCAGCUUGGAAUGGGAUUCACUUUGUCUUCUUGUGGUGUUUCUGGUGAAGGAAAAGCAGGUUUGGAGCUUGGAGUGGAGGAAAAUGCUGACUUGGUUUGUGCUGGGUUCAGAGCAGCCAACUCGUCUGCAAAGUAUCUCCAGGGAAAAUCUGACUUUUCCUUCUACCUUUUCCUUAUUACUCUGAUUUUUUUUGGCACAAAAAUGGCUGGAAAUCAGCCAGAUGUAAAUCACUAGAAGCUCCAAAGAAAGAAAAGCAGGCUGGAGGCUUUGCUGGAACAGCAUUUCCUUCUCCCCAAAUCCCUGUUUUCAUCUGGAAAAUGCCUUUUGCUUCCCAGCAAAAUUCCUCUCUGUGGGGUCAGCAGUGACCAAGGGAAAUUUGCCAUCUUUAUGUGAAAUCGGGAGGAUAAUUGAAUUGUGGAAUAAUUGAAGAAUUCUUUUUCUUCUGUGUGAUUUCUUCCCUCAGGCAGGUAAAACCUGCUGAGAGAAGUGGCCAAGAAUGAUUUUUUUUUUUCCUGAAGCAAAGCAGCGUUUCCCACAAGGAAACUCCUGUGUGCAGUAAAAUGAAAACUCAGCAGCCAGGCACAGGUUCAGGUAUAAAUUCACAAUUCCUGACCUUCCCAGGGUGUUUUUGGCAGGAAACAGAGCUGGUGUUGUCUUACAAGGAGUGAAACCCCCUCUGUGCUGGGCUGUCCCUGCUUCAUUUGUCACCAAGGGAAAGGUGUUGGUGCUCUGAGCUCUCCAGGAGUGCUUUGCUGUCCUUUUUUUUUCCUGUGUCCUGUAGGAUUGAAAUCUGUGGCUUUCAGAGCUGUGGGAUUCCUGGAAAAAAUCCAAUUCAGAGCUGUGGAAUCCCAGAAUUUUGUGGGUUGGAGAGACCUUAAAGAUCCAGGAUGCUCCAAGCCCAGCCUGACCUUGGACAUCCCAGGGAUCCAGGGGCUGGAAUGCCAGGAAUUCCUUCCCAAAUCCCAUCCAUCCCUUCUCUCUGCCACUGGGAAACCAUUCCCUGUGUCCUCUCCUUCCCGACCUUUCCCAAAUUCCAGCUCUCCUGGAGCCCCUCCAGGCCCUGGAAUGUGCUGGAUGCUCUCCCUGGAUCCUUCCCUUCUCCAGGAGAACAUUCCCAGUUUUCCCAGCCUGGCUCUGGAGCAGAGGGAAACCUUUGGAGCAGCUCCAGCUUCCUCUGCUGUCGACCCCAGAGCUGGAUCUGGCUGCAGGUGGAAUCUCACCAGGGCAGAGUAGAGGGAGAAUCCAGAGGAAGGAAAAGUUGGGAUUUGCCCCAGGAAUUGUUCAACAGAAGAUCCUUGGAUAUAUAAAUAACAAAACCUGCGGUUGCUUUGCUUAAAGGGAGAAACUCUGAGGGUGCAGUGAGAAUUCUUGGCUUGAGGAAAACCAGGAUUUUAAAUUUGGAAUAAUUUUAGCCCAGAUUUCUCAACAAGUUUGCAACAAAUCAAAUGCUAAAAAUCCACCUCUUGCUACUCCUCACUGCUUUUUUGUGGCCUUUAUAACCUUUUUAACUUGUAAAAAUCCUUUUUUUGGUUUUUUUUUUCUGGUGUCCUGCAGGGCUGGAGGAGCCUGAGGGAAGUUGGGAAAAACAGGAAUAAAGGGAAAAUAGGGAUAAAUAUUCCUUAAAGCAUCAAAACCCCGGUGAUGGUUUCAGGUUCACCUGGGGAUGCUGUAUCAGGAAAAGGAGGGAUUUUGGAGAAGAAAAAUCAGUUUCCAAAGGUUUGAACUUGCCCACAGACCCCAAAAUUCCAUAAAUCCUCAGGAAUUCCAUAAAUCCUCGGGAAUUCCAUAAAUCAAGCUGGAUUUCUUUAUUUUAUUUUGGAAAUCUAUUCAGGUGUGGUGUUUGGUUUUCCUUCAAAUUCAACCUCUGACACCUCAGAUUUCCAUAGGACAGGUGGUGUAAAGCUUUUUUAUGGAAAAAAAAUGAACUGGCUGAGUGUUAAUCUCAGCUUGUAACUAAUGUUAAUUUUAAAGAAACCUAAUGAAAGGAUUUUUAUUUUUUUUCCUUCUUUAUUUUUUGUCUUGGGGUUAAAUGUUUGCCAGGAAAAAGCCACUGAACCCUGUGAACACACAGAGCAUCUGUAGGCCAUGGUGUUCAUCUGGGAUUUGGGUGUGAAGUCAAAUCUUAACAAAUUUUUUAUUAUUAUUUUAUUUGAUUUUUUAUUAUUAUUAUUUGUAUUUAUUUAUAGUUAUUUAUGUAUUAUUGAUAUUUUUAAUUAUAU